CGGCGACCAGCACGGCGCUGGUGGCGAACAGAAUGUGGAAGAUGAAGAUGAGGAAGUCCUCCGCAGUGUCGAAGUCCACCGACAGAGGGACGGUGGCGUUCAGGAGGAGAAGCAUCCUGGAGGCUCCACCAGAAACUAUUGGAUUAGAAGCUUGUCUGUCUGAAUGAAGACAUGUGGACACAUGCUGUUGUUGAUGGAGCAUCCAGACACUAAACAUGAGCAAUCUCCAGCAGCUGGCCUGCCUGGUGAUGCUGGUACUCGGUUUCCGGAUUGUGUGGCCAAUCCAUCCCCAUCUCCUUCUCCUGAUCUCUUCUUCAUCAGGUUGUUGACCUGUUCUCUGCCAAAGAUCAUUGUUGCUGGUUUGUUAAUUGGUUUGUUGCCCAUGCUAAAAGUCUUCUGUCCUCAAAGCCAGAGGGAGGCUGUUCUGAUAAACUGAUAAACAUGCACUGAGAAAUUGUGCCAAAAGGUCAAUAAGUUGUUGACCUCUGUGUGUUUUCAUCAAAAGCUUGUUGACUUGUUAUCCAUGGACAUUAAAGUCACCCAGGUGGUCUCCUCCCUACAUAGAUAAGAGCAGAGGUAAACCCUCCCACUUGCACCAAAUAAAGAUUAAAG